CAACGGAUCUCUUGGUUCUCGCAUCGAUGAAGAACGCAGCGAAAUGCGAUAAGUAAUAUGAAUUGCAGAUUUUCGUGAAUCAUCGAAUCUUUGAACGCACAUUGCGCCCUCUGGUAUUCCAGAGGGCAUGCCUGUUUGAGCGU
rnacentral:rRNA from 1 species